rnacentral:piRNA from 2 species
UGAAGACAUCUCUUCAAAUGGCAGAUUAGU